rnacentral:rRNA from 1 species
AAUCUUGGACAAUUGUCCCAAGGCUGAUCCACCCACGGCGCGUGUUUGAAGAAGGCCUGCGGGUUAUGAAGCUCUUUCCGACGGAACGAAAUCUCGCAGGCUAAUACCCUGCGCGCGUGACGGUACCGUCAUGAGUAGCACUGGCCAACUACGUGCCAGCAGCCGCGGUAAUACGUAGGGUGCGAGCGUUAAUCGGAAUUAUUGGGCGUAAAGCGUGCGCAGGCGGUUGAUUAAGACCGGCGUGAAAACCCCGGGCUUAACCUGGGAACUGCGCUUGUGACUGGUCAGCUAGAGUACGGCAGAGGGGGGUGGAAUUCCACGUGUAGCAGUGAAAUGCGUAGAGAUGUGGAGGAACACCGAUGGCGAACGCAGCCCCCUAGGCCGAUACUGACGCUCAUGCACGAAAGCGUGGGUAGCAAACAGG